AAGGUUUUCGGAUCGUAAAGCUCUGUUGUAAGUCAAGAACGAGUGUGAGAGUGGAAAGUUCACACUGUGACGGUAGCUUACCAGAAAGGGACGGCUAACUACGUGCCAGCAGCCGCGGUAAUACGUAGGUCCCGAGCGUUGUCCGGAUUUAUUGGGCGUAAAGCGAGCGCAGGCGGUUUGAUAAGUCUGAAGUUAAAGGCUGUGGCUCAACCAUAGUUCGCUUUGGAAACUGUCAAACUUGAGUGCAGAAGGGGAGAGUGGAAUUCCAUGUGUAGCGGUGAAAUGCGUAGAUAUAUGGAGGAACACC
rnacentral:rRNA from 1 species